AGUGAACGCUGGCGGUAGGCCUAACACAUGCAAGUCGAACGGCAGCACAGGAGAGCUUGCUCUCUGGGUGGCGAGUGGCGGACGGGUGAGGAAUACAUCGGAAUCUACUUUUUCGUGGGGGAUAACGUAGGGAAACUUACGCUAAUACCGCAUACGACCUACGGGUGAAAGCAGGGGAUCUUCGGACCUUGCGCGAUUGAAUGAGCCGAGGUCGGAUUAGCUAGUUGGCGGGGUAAAGGCCCACCAAGGCGACGAUCCGUAGCUGGUCUGAGAGGAUGAUCGGCCACACUGGAACUGAGACACGGUCCAGACUCCUACGGGAGGCAGCAGUGGGGAAUAUUGGACAAUGGGCGCAAGCCUGAUCCAGCCAUACCGCGUGGGUGAAGAAGGCCUUCGGGUUGUAAAGCCCUUUUGUUGGGAAAGAAAUCCAGCUGGUUAAUACCCGGUUGGGAUGACGGUACCCAAAGAAUAAGCACCGGCUAACUUCGUGCCAGCCGCCGCAGUAA
rnacentral:rRNA from 1 species